UCAAGUGAAGAAGCGCAUACGGUGGAUGCCUUGGCAGUCAGAGGCGAUGAAAGACGUGGUAGCCUGCGAAAAGCUUCGGGGAGUCGGCAAACAGACUUUGAUCCGGAGAUCUCUGAAUGGGGGAACCCACCUAGGAUAACCUAGGUAUCUUGUACUGAAUCCAUAGGUGCAAGAGGCGAACCAGGGGAACUGAAACAUCUAAGUACCCUGAGGAAAAGAAAUCAACCGAGAUUCCCUUAGUAGUGGCGAGCGAACGGGGAUUAGCCCUUAAGCUUCAUUGAUUUUAGCGGAACGCUCUGGAAAGUGCGGCCAUAGUGGGUGAUAGCCCCGUACGCGAAAGGAUCUUUGAAGUGAAAUCGAGUAGGACGGAGCACGAGAAACUUUGUCUGAACAUGGGGGGACCAUCCUCCAAGGCUAAAUACUACUGACUGACCGAUAGUGAACCAGUACCGUGAGGGAAAGGCGAAAAGAACCCCGGAGAGGGGAGUGAAAUAGAACCUGAAACCGUAUGCGUACAAGCAGUGGGAGCCUACUUGUUAGGUGACUGCGUACCUUUUGUAUAAUGGGUCAGCGACUUAUAUUCAGUGGCAAGCUUAACCGUAUAGGGUAGGCGUAGCGAAAGCGAGUCUUAAUAGGGCGUUUAGUCGCUGGGUAUAGACCCGAAACCGGGCGAUCUAUCCAUGAGCAGGUUGAAGGUUAGGUAACACUGACUGGAGGACCGAACCCACUCCCGUUGAAAAGGUAGGGGAUGACUUGUGGAUCGGAGUGAAAGGCUAAUCAAGCUCGGAGAUAGCUGGUUCUCCUCGAAAGCUAUUUAGGUAGCGCCUCAUGUAUCACUCUGGGGGGUAGAGCACUGUUUCGGCUAGGGGGUCAUCCCGACUUACCAAACCGAUGCAAACUCCGAAUACCCAGAAGUGCCGAGCAUGGGAGACACACGGCGGGUGCUAACGUCCGUCGUGAAAAGGGAAACAACCCAGACCGCCAGCUAAGGUCCCAAAGUUGUGGUUAAGUGGUAAACGAUGUGGGAAGGCUUAGACAGCUAGGAGGUUGGCUUAGAAGCAGCCACCCUUUAAAGAAAGCGUAAUAGCUCACUAGUCGAGUCGGCCUGCGCGGAAGAUGUAACGGGGCUCAAACCACACACCGAAGCUGCGGGUGUCACGUAAGUGACGCGGUAGAGGAGCGUUCUGUAAGCCUGUGAAGGUGAGUUGAGAAGCUUGCUGGAGGUAUCAGAAGUGCGAAUGCUGACAUGAGUAACGACAAUGGGUGUGAAAAACACCCACGCCGAAAGACCAAGGGUUCCUGCGCAACGUUAAUCGACGCAGGGUUAGUCGGUUCCUAAGGCGAGGCUGAAAAGCGUAGUCGAUGGGAAACAGGUUAAUAUUCCUGUACUUCUGGUUACUGCGAUGGAGGGACGGAGAAGGCUAGGCCAGCUUGGCGUUGGUUGUCCAAGUUUAAGGUGGUAGGCUGAAAUCUUAGGUAAAUCCGGGGUUUCAAGGCCGAGAGCUGAUGACGAGUCGUCUUUUAGAUGACGAAGUGGUUGAUGCCAUGCUUCCAAGAAAAGCUUCUAAGCUUCAGGUAACCAGGAACCGUACCCCAAACCGACACAGGUGGUCGGGUAGAGAAUACCAAGGCGCUUGAGAGAACUCGGGUGAAGGAACUAGGCAAAAUGGCACCGUAACUUCGGGAGAAGGUGCGCCGGCUAGGGUGAAGGAUUUACUCCGUAAGCUCUGGCUGGUCGAAGAUACCAGGCCGCUGCGACUGUUUAUUAAAAACACAGCACUCUGCAAACACGAAAGUGGACGUAUAGGGUGUGACGCCUGCCCGGUGCCGGAAGGUUAAUUGAUGGGGUUAGCGCAAGCGAAGCUCUUGAUCGAAGCCCCGGUAAACGGCGGCCGUAACUAUAACGGUCCUAAGGUAGCGAAAUUCCUUGUCGGGUAAGUUCCGACCUGCACGAAUGGCGUAACGAUGGCGGCGCUGUCUCCACCCGAGACUCAGUGAAAUUGAAAUCGCUGUGAAGAUGCAGUGUAUCCGCGGCUAGACGGAAAGACCCCGUGAACCUUUACUGUAGCUUUGCACUGGACUUUGAGCCUGCUUGUGUAGGAUAGGUGGGAGGCUUUGAAGCGUGGACGCCAGUUCGCGUGGAGCCAUCCUUGAAAUACCACCCUGGCAUGCUUGAGGUUCUAACUCUGGUCCGUNNAGAGUAUAAAGGCAAAAGCGCGCUUGACUGCGAGACAGACACGUCGAGCAGGUACGAAAGUAGGUCUUAGUGAUCCGGUGGUUCUGUAUGGAAGGGCCAUCGCUCAACGGAUAAAAGGUACUCCGGGGAUAACAGGCUGAUACCGCCCAAGAGUUCAUAUCGACGGCGGUGUUUGGCACCUCGAUGUCGGCUCAUCACAUCCUGGGGCUGAAGCCGGUCCCAAGGGUAUGGCUGUUCGCCAUUUAAAGUGGUACGCGAGCUGGGUUUAGAACGUCGUGAGACAGUUCGGUCCCUAUCUGCCGUGGACGUUUGAGAUUUGAGAGGGGCUGCUCCUAGUACGAGAGGACCGGAGUGGACGAACCUCUGGUGUUCCGGUUGUCACGCCAGUGGCAUUGCCGGGUAGCUAUGUUCGGAAAAGAUAACCGCUGAAAGCAUCUAAGCGGGAAACUUGCCUCAAGAUGAGAUCUCACUGGGAACUUGAUUCCCCUGAAGGGCCGUCGAAGACUACGACGUUGAUAGGCUGGGUGUGUAAGCGUUGUGAGGCGUUGAGCUAACCAGUACUAAUUGCCCGUGAGGCUUGACCAU
rnacentral:rRNA from 1 species